UUGGACUCAACGCCGGGAAGCUUACCGGAUAAGACAGCGGAAUGAUUGCCGGGCUGAAGACUCUGCAUGACCAGCUGAGAGGAGGUGCAUGGCCGUCGUCAGUUCGUACUGUGAAGCAUCCUGUUAAGUCAGGCAACGAGCGAGACCCACGCCAACAGUUGCCAGCAUGGUCUCCGGACUGAUGGGGACACUGUUGGGACCGCCUCUGCUAAAGAGGAGGAAGGAAUGGGCAACGGUAGGUCAGCAUGCCCCGAGUUAUCCGGGCUACACGCGGGCUACAAUGGGCAGGACAAUGGGUAUCGACACCGAAAGGUGAAGGCAAUCUCCUAAACCUGUCCUUAGUUCGGAUUGUGGGCUGCAACUCGCCCACAUGAAGCUGGAAUCCGUAGUAAUCGCGUUUCAAAAUAACGCGGUGAAUGUGUCCCUGCUCCUU
rnacentral:rRNA from 1 species